CGAAGCAAAGCUUUAUAGUAAGCAUUUCAUUUACACUGGAAAGAUGUUCGUGCAACUCGAAUUGUUUUGA
rnacentral:tRNA from 1 species